ensembl:lncRNA
UGGUGUUGUUACCACAUUAAAAUCGAAGAAGGACAUUUAUUUCAGCAAGAAAAUUCAUUGUGGGACUGCGUGGGACGAGCUUUUGAAGUGGAAGCAUAGCGUAAAGCGGUGAAUGUCGCUGUGGCAUGAGACUUUCCGAGUCUGCUCAGACAGCGUCCACCUUGACGGCACUGACCGCCAUUGAUUUUUGCUUUGGUUGUGCUAAUCUGGAACUACGAGUGCUGGUAUAGUGAGCAUCUGAGAUCAUUUGAGCUGACAUCAUCUGACACUUGCUCUGUGCAUCGGCUGACCGAACUAAAUGACACAGAGAUGGCAGCACAAAAUUUCCUACUACAUGUCCAUGUCUCCACAGACCUUGUGAGGAAGAUGACGUUAUCCUCACGUCCAAAAUCUGUGGAUGAUUUAAAAAUAAUGAUAAAAGAGAAAUUUAAGCUUGACUUUGACUUCAGCCU